rnacentral:hammerhead_ribozyme from 1 species
ACCCGGUUGAUGAGUCCUAAAUAGAACGAAACGACCGUCCUGGAU